AGGUUUCAUCACAAGUUGACUGUCUGAUAAGGCAAAUUCCAGCAGGUACCUACUUUUCAAAGUAUGUUAGUAUUGUAGUCACUGAUGUCCCAUGGAAUAAAGGAAGUGAAAUGGCAAAGGCAAGGAUUAUUGUGUUGAAGAAGUCUGUGAAGGCUUGGGUCCUGGAAGGUGUGUCAUUUGGACCAAGUACCAGAAAAAUGCACUGCAAUGAUGUACUAUAGUGUGUCCAUUUUUUCUAUAUAGUUGUGGGGAGAAAAAUCUAAAUGACAAGGUGCAUAAAUUCUAUGGAUUUGGCUUUGUAGGGAUACAACCACAAGAGGUGUUCUAUAAACAGUCACAUGGAGUCCUGCGUUGUGCAUCUGUAUCAAUUAGAAAUGCUUAACACCUACCAAGCAUUUUUUAAUGUAGGUUUUAGUGACAGCAUUAUAUUUCUUUCCAUGGUGUACUGAAAAUGAUUUGAACAAUAAUCUUUAAAAAUACAAAUUAGUUCUCUUCAACUCAUUGCUUUUAUUUCUCAGCUCAUUCUGUAUUCCUUGUUCAACACAGUAUGAUCUUUCUUAGUGCAGUAGAAUGUAAGAGCAAGCCAGAUCAGCUCGCUCACAACUCCCUCCAUUCACCUUCCUUUACAGAUGCAGUUCUAGAGACCUCUACAUGUCUCUGAGAUAAUGAAGACAUCGCCACAUGACCUCACUGGUGAUUUCUCAUCUUUCUCCUUGAACUCUUCUAUUUUCUUCUCCUUACCAUCACUCAUCCAGACAAUUUUCAUGAACGUCCACAUUUUCCCAAUGACUGGCCACUCGUUCCCAUAAUAGGGCAAUAAUACGACUUCAGGAAGCAUUGUUUUGAUUCACUCGUUUACCCACUCACUCAGGAAAGCAACACUUCCCGGGACUAUCAAGUCACAGUCACAAUCCU
rnacentral:lncRNA from 1 species